UACGUAGGGUGCAAGCGUUGUCCGGAAUUAUUGGGCGUAAAGAGCUCGUAGGCGGUUCGUCGCGUCGGCUGUGAAAAACCCGGAGCUCAACUCCGGGCCUGCAGUCGAUACGGGCGGACUUGAGUGUUGCAGGGGAGACUGGAAUUCCUGGUGUAGCGGUGAAAUGCGCAGAUAUCGGAGGAACACCGGUGGCGAAGGCGGUUCUCUGGGCCUUACCUGACGCUGAGGAGCGAAAGCGUGGGAGCAAACAGG
rnacentral:rRNA from 1 species